CUCCACUUUCAGCUGCUCAUUUCUACACCCACAUGCCUCCCCAAUUGUGUCAGAACAACUAUUUGUGGGGCUGUGCAGAUAACCAGACAAGAGAACUGGUAUGUGUUAAAAAUAACUGCAUAUCUUUCACCUGUUGAGUUUCUUGAUUGGCUGACCACAUGGCCUCCCAGCUAAGUCCCCUAACAGAGAGGGCAGUGCAGGGCUGGAAGAUAAGAGGCAGGAAGAUGAGAGUGGGCAGAAAAAGCUUGAGUGGCUGCUACUGCUGAAGCAACUGAAAGAUUGGUGCGAGUCACCCUGCUAUCAUAACCCUGACUUUACAAUAAAAGGUGGAUAUUGGCCUGAAAAGGCCUGGUCCUUGAGUACAAAACCUGAAAGAGCAUUUCUUCUUUGGAUAAAGACUCCAGUCUUUCAUCAUUCUUGUAAAGGAGCAGACUUGCAUCGGAGGCAUUUCCCUCUACUAUCAAAUUCUGCUGAUUUUAAUAAGUGCAAAGUUAGAUUGGUGAACAAGGCUGGAACAGACUUAAAAUAUGUACAGAGUUCCUUCAGAUAUCUGCAGAGCCUCGGAAGAGAUAUGGAGCAUCUCAGAACCCCCAUCUUCAGCACACUUCCGCAACAAGGAUGCACCAGGAUGGGCCAAACAGGGUCAUGCAGCCCCACAGAGCUGAGGAAUUAUGUGUCUGGAAACUUGGGCUUAUACUGGGUUUAUGUUCUCCAGUCUCCUGCUGUGUGAACACCAGAAUGAUAUUUAAGGGCUGCUUCAUGGGUAUUGUGUUGUCAUGGCUGAAGCCAAAGUAUGCAGCACUCAUCUGUUUGAAGAAACAACAGGGGAGAAAUCUCUAGUAGACAAAGCCCUUGAGAGUGUUUCUUUUGAUUCUUUCUAGGGUUUUUAGAAUGGAGAAAUCAAGCUUAAUUGGACUUUAAAGACAUUAUAUGGUAGGAAAGACCAUUGACACUUGACAGUUGAAUCUGAAUCAAAAAACACAACGGUCACAUGUAGGAAGUAUUUUGAAACAGCAUAUUUACAUAUCUUUAAAUGCUUUGUAUAAAAUCCCUCAGCUCUUUAGAUAAUUAUUUAUGGAGUUCAUAAAAAAUAGUAUGAUACCAGUUUUAAAUAUAUGGCAAGUAUUUUUCCAUGAAGUUGGAGAAGAUAAUGUAUUUUUAUAUUUAAGUAAAAUUUGCAAAAUGCCCUUUAGUUUAAUUGCAUACACAAAAGCAAAAACACAAAACAACUGUGUUUAUUCAUUAUCUUCGUCAGCAUCAUGGCAUCUGCAAAGAAAAGAUCAAAUGGGAGUAAAGGGAGCCCAAGUUCCUUUAUUCCUACUCAUUUCUCUUCCCACAUAUAAACUAUC
rnacentral:lncRNA from 1 species